GAUGAACGCUAGCGGCAGGCUUAACACAUGCAAGUCGAGGGGUAACAGGGGAAAGCUUGCUUUUUUUGCUGACGACCGGCGCACGGGUGAGUAACGCGUAUAGAACCUACCUUUUACAGGGGAAUAGCCCAGAGAAAUUUGGAUUAAUACCCUAUAGUAUUAUUGAGUGGCAUCAUUUAAUAAUUAAACAUUUAUGGGUAAAAGAUGGCUAUGCGUUCUAUUAGCUAGAUGGUAAGGUAACGGCUUACCAUGGCAACGAUAGAUAGGGGUCCUGAGAGGGAGAUCCCCCACACUGGUACUGAGACACGGACCAGACUCCUACGGGAGGCAGCAGUGAGGAAUAUUGGACAAUGGAGGCAACUCUGAUCCAGCCAUGCCGCGUGCAGGAAGACGGCCCUAUGGGUUGUAAACUGCUUUUAUACGGGAAGAAACCCAACUACGUGUAGUUGGUUGACGGUACCGUAAGAAUAAGCACCGGCUAACUCCGUGCCAGCAGCCGCGGUAAUACGGAGGGUGCAAGCGUUAUCCGGAAUCAUUGGGUUUAAAGGGUCCGUAGGCGGGCUAAUAAGUCAGGGGUGAAAUCCAACAGCUUAACUGUUGAACUGCCUUUGAUACUGUUAGUCUUGAAUUAUAUGGAAGUAGAUAGAAUGUGUAGUGUAGCGGUGAAAUGCUUAGAGAUUACACAGAAUACCGAUU
rnacentral:rRNA from 1 species